GGUUCAAUGGUCUAAUGGUUAUGAUUUUCGUCUCACAUCUCCGAUGGUGUCGUCCACGAAAGGUUCCCGGUUCGAUCCCGGGUUGAACCA